rnacentral:lncRNA from 1 species
AUUUACCGAGGAGGACUCGGGCCCUGCGAGGUCACUUCAUCCUGGCCCAGGUACUGCAGCUCCAAAUCGUGGGGAUUCUGUAAGAGCUUGCUACCUGUUGACUGAGGAGGCCCACGAGUCGAGCAAAAAGAAUGAUUCCUCAGCAGUCACUGUGAAAUUUUGUGGGCCACAAGUAUUGUGCACACAUGAUCCUUGAUUUAGAGUCAACCUGAUAUCCAUUACAGCUGUGGAAAGGCAGCAGGCAGUUGUGUCGCUCUUCACAAUAAGGAACACAUCUUGCUUUCAGCAUGUGAGAGGAACAAAAGCAUUGAUGUAAAUGUGCCUCAAAGUGAGAACUGAAAACAUUAACAUAAAAUAAAAAAGUCAAAUAAGACU